GCGCUUUGAAGUGAGAAUGACGGUUUGAGUUGCGUAAGAAGGGAGAGAAUCCCUUCCACCGAAUAUCUAUGGUUUCCUGUGGAUGGCUCGUCCGCUCUGGGUUUGUCGGGACCUAAGCCGAGGCCGAUUGGCGUUGGCGUUGGACAACAGGUAGAGAUUCCUGUACCUGUGCUUAUUGUUUAUCCGAUGGGGUGACACAGAAGGAUUGGGAAUCGCACGAAUGGAUAUGUGCGUCCAAGCAGUGAGUGUGAGAAGAAGGCAAAUCCGCUUCUUGCGAAGCAUGAGCUGUGAUGGGGAUGGAAAUUAAGU
rnacentral:rRNA from 1 species